rnacentral:rRNA from 1 species
GAUAAACGCUGGCGGCGCACAUAAGACAUGCAAGUCGAACGGACUUAACCAUUAGUUUACUAUUGGAGCGGUUAGUGGCGGACUGGUGAGUAACACGUAAGCAACCUGCCUAUCAGAGGGGAACAACAGUUAGAAAUGACUGCUAAUACCGCAUAGGUAGGGAUCUCGCAUGAGGACCUUAUUAAAGGGGCUGCGGCCCUGAACAUGGAUGGACCUGCGGUGCAUUAGCUAGUUGGUGGGAUAACGGCCUACCAAGGCGACGAUGCAUAGCCGACCUGAGAGGGCGAACGGCCACAUUGGGACUGAGACACGGCCCAA